UAGUCCACGCCGUAAACGAUGGUCACUAGUUGUUGGGGUCUUGUACCUCAGUGAUUAAGAGAAAUUGAUAAGUGACCCACCUGGGGAGUACGAUCGCAAGAUUGAAACUCAAAGGAAUUGACGGGGGCCCGCACAAGCGGUGGAGCAUGUGGUUUAAUUCGAUGGUACGCGAGGAACCUUACCAGGGCUUAAAUGUAAAUUGCAUGGGGUAGAGAUACCCCUUUCUUCGGACUGUUUACAAGGUGCUGCAUGGUUGUCGUCAGCUCGUGCCGUGAGGUGUCAGGUUAAGUCCUAUAACGAGCGCAACCCCUAUUUUUAGUUGCUAACAGGUUAAGCUGAGGACUCUAAAGAGACUGCCGGUGCAGACCGUGAGGAAGGUGGGGAUGACGUCAAAUCAUCACGGCCCUUACGUCCUGGGCUACACACGUGCUACAAUGGUAUGGACAGAGAGCAGCCACCUUGCGAGAGGGAGCGAAUCUAGAAACCAUAUCACAGUUCGGAUCGGAGUCUGCAAC
rnacentral:rRNA from 1 species